rnacentral:rRNA from 1 species
CCUACGGGUGGCAGCAGUGAGGAAUAUUGGUCAAUGGGCGCAAGCCUGAACCAGCCAAGUAGCGUGAAGGAUGACUGCCCUACGGGUUGUAAACUUCUUUUAUCAAGGAAUAAAGUGAGGCACGUGUGCCUUUUUGUAUGUACUUUAUGAAUAAGGAUCGGCUAACUCCGUGCCAGCAGCCGCGGUAAUACGGAGGAUCCGAGCGUUAUCCGGAUUUAUUGGGUUUAAAGGGAGCGUAGAUGGGUUGUUAAGUCAGUUGUGAAAGUUUGCGGCUCAACCGUAAAAUUGCAAUUGAUACUGGCAGCCUUGAGUACAGGUGAGGUAGGCGGAAUGCGCGGUGUAGCGGUGAAAUGCUUAGAUAUCGCGCAGAACUCCGAUUGCGAAGGCAGCUUACCAACCGGGCACUGACAUUGAGGCUCGAAAGUGUGGGUAUCAAACAGGAUUAGAUACCCGAGUAGUC